rnacentral:rRNA from 1 species
CACGUAGGGCGCAAGCGUUGUCCGGAAUUAUUGGGCGUAAAGAGCUCGUAGGCGGUCUGUCGCGUCGGCUGUGAAAACUCGGGGCUCAACUCCGAGCUUGCAGUCGAUACGGGCAGGCUAGAGUUCGGCAGGGGAGACUGGAAUUCCUGGUGUAGCGGUGAAAUGCGCAGAUAUCAGGAGGAACACCGGUGGCGAAGGCGGUUCUCUGGGCCUUACCUGACACUGAGGAGCGAAAGCGUGGGGAGCGAACAGG